rnacentral:rRNA from 1 species
UACGUAGGGUGCAAGCGUUAAUCGGAAUUACUGGGCGUAAAGCGUGCGCAGGCGGUCCGUUAAGACAGAUGUGAAAUCCCCGGGCUUAACCUGGGAACUGCAUUUGUGACUGGCGGACUCGAGUAUGGCAGAGGGGGGUAGAAUUCCACGUGUAGCAGUGAAAUGCGUAGAGAUGUGGAGGAAUACCGAGUGGCGAAGGCAGCCCCCUGGGCCCAAUAACGUGACGCUCAUGCACGAAAGCGUGGGGAGCAAACAGG